UACGAAGGGGGCUAGCGUUGCUCGGAAUCACUGGGCGUAAAGCGCACGUAGGCGGCUUUUUAAGUCAGGGGUGAAAUCCUGGAGCUCAACUCCAGAACUGCCUUUGAUACUGAGAAGCUUGAGUCCGGGAGAGGUGAGUGGAACUGCGAGUGUAGAGGUGAAAUUCGUAGAUAUUCGCAAGAACACCAGUGGCGAAGGCGGCUCACUGGGACGUAACUGACGCUGAGACGCGAAAGCGUGGGGAGCAAACAGG
rnacentral:rRNA from 1 species